rnacentral:misc_RNA from 1 species
CUGAAAUACAUACAAGUGUACAGCCAACAAGGCAAAUGACUGGGGAAAUAGAAAAUCUGCUCGGAACACAUUGUUCCCUGUAAUUUCUUUUAUUCCAAUUUUUUUCAUACGAUUCCAUCUCCUCUCUUACAUCCCAAAAACUCCUCACUGUACAACAAACAAAUCAUAAAACAAAGAGAAAAAUAUUUAUUAAAGACAAGAAAUUCUUAUCUAAAUUGAUACCAUAAAUUUGAGACAAAACAUAUGUGUAGAAUCAGGCUGAGGAAAUCCAUAACGAAUCGGGCUGAGGAAAUCCCCAAGCAGGACAUGGAGAAAUCUGGUUUUCUGGCAGUAGGAAGACAUUAGCUAAUAGCAACAAAUCGGGCAAUGUAUUAGUCCAUUCUCAUUACAAUCAGGGCAACGUUGAAAGCCAUGCUCACAUUCUUCUUCUUCUUCUUCUUCGUCACAUUCGUAGUAUAUCUUACAACUCCCAAAGCAUGUCUCGCAUGGCACAAACCUGAUAUCCCCACAAGCCUCACAA